CCUACGGGAGGCAGCAGUGAGGAAUAUUGGUCAAUGGGCGCGAGCCUGAACCAGCCAAGUCGCGUGAGGGAUGACGGUCCUAUGGAUUGUAAACCUCUUUUGCCGGGGAGCAAAAUGCGGUACGUGUCCCGCUUCGAGAGUACCCUGAGAAUAAGCAUCGGCUAACUCCGUGCCAGCAGCCGCGGUAAUACGGAGGAUGCGAGCGUUAUCCGGAUUUAUUGGGUUUAAAGGGUGCGUAGGCGGCCUGUUAAGUCAGCGGGGAAAAUUUGGGGCUCAAACCCAGAAAAGCCGUUGAAACUGGCUGGCUAGAGUGGGCGAGAGGUAUGCGGAAUGCGUGGUGUAGCGGUGAAAUGCAUAGAUAUCACGCAGAACUCCGAUUGCGAAGGCAGCAUACCAGCGCCCAACUGACGCUCAGGCACGAAAGCGUGGGUAUCGAACAGGAUUAGAUACCCGUGUAGUC
rnacentral:rRNA from 1 species